UCAGGAGCCGGAAUCCUGCAAGCCACUGAAGCCGAACGGGAACGUCAGGGGCUGGGCACACAGGUGGACCGGUAAGGCGGAGCUUGGACCAGCAGGGAGGCGGGGCUGAAAGUUCCUUAACCUCGAGAGGGGAAGAAGCAGGUAAAAGACCUAUGGGAAGAGGAUAGGGUACAGUUUUCUUUGGGGGGAAUGAGGUUCUUGAGUCUAAUGUUUUUUGGAAACAGAGAGCCUAUGUAUUUAUUUCUAUACAUAAAUCUUGACCUGAAAAUAAGGGCCCAUGUGUUGUUUGCAGCCCAUUUAAAAAUCUCCCACCCAGCUCAAUGACACUGUGGUUAUUACCCUCCGUUUCCUUUUCCGUUUGGACCCCUAUUUUUUUUUUAAAUCUGUCAAGAAAGAUCAAUAUGGAUCCGACAGCCCAUGGUUGCCAACUGUUCAACACGUACACGAGCUUCCUGAUUCCCACAGUCUGACGCCGACAGGAGCACCCUUUUUGCCCCCUUAAAGCACAGCUCCAGCUGGAGCAGCAGAGCUGGGAGUUUUGUGAGGAGCAUCCCAGGAGACAGUGUGGUAAAACAAGUAUAAAAUGAAUGACAAGAUGUUCUGUCGUUUGGUGGGGAUCUUCACCAUCCUCAGCACCAUCCAGUUCCUCAUCUUUGACUUGAACGAGGUUGUAAUCCUUGACGAUGAGUCCCUGUUCAGCAUCUACAUGGAGGCAAAGCCUGGGAUAAGCUCUUGGGUCCUCACUCACAAAAACAACAUCAGGGCUGGCCUAUCCACCAUCACCAUCAUGGUCAGCUUCUUGCUCCUGUAUUGCAGCCACACCAGCAACUACGUGGGGCUGCUGUGCUGUGCCCUGUGGAUCGUCGCCUAUGAGCUCACCAGCUUCUGCGUGGUCCUGCUCAUCGACAGCAGCAUCAAAGAGCAUUUCAAGGAGCUCAGUUACCUGCACUUGGUCUUCCAAGUCUCCCGAAUGCUCCUGUACGUCUUCUGUCUGCCCUUUAUCAUCAAGUAUACGUACACCCUUUAUAAGGACUCCACGACUUCAAGCAAGGUAGGCCGCCGCAAGCGCUCUCCAUCAGUACAAUCGACUACUCGUGGUCAAAUGUCGGCUGGGAAUGUUGUACCACAAGUUAAACUGAGCCGUGCCAGGAAGAAAGAGAGGGGGACAGUGCUCCCCAACAACAGAACCCUCGUUUCCUGUCUGCCUUCUGUUGAUUCUGCUUGUCUUGGGGGUUCUUGAGUUUUAUGCACAUAAGAGUGAUUCUUGGGGGUGGGAGGGUUGCACGGACUGAUUACUGUGCGUGUGUGUGUCUGUGACUUGUUGUCCCAUUGAAUU